rnacentral:rRNA from 1 species
UGGGGAAUUUUGCACAAUGGGGGAAACCCUGAUGCAGCGACGCCGCGUGAUUUAGAAGGCCUUCGGGUUGUAAAAAUCUUUUCUAUGGGAAGAAAAUGACAGUACCAUAGGAUUAAGGACUGGCUAAUUACGUGCCAGCAGCCGCGGUAAUACGUAAGGUCCGAGCGUUGUCCGGAAUCAUUGGGCGUAAAGGGUACGUAGGCGGGUAAGCAAGUUAGAAGUGAAAUCCUGUAGCUCAACUACAGUAAGCUUUUAAAACUGCUCAUCUUGAGAUAUGGAAGGGAAAGUGGAAUUCCUAGUGUAGCGGUGAAAUGCGCAGAUAUUAGGAGGAAUACCGGUGGCGAAGGCGACUUUCUGGCCAUAAUCUGACGCUGAGGUACGAAAGCGUGGGUAGCAAACAGG